rnacentral:rRNA from 1 species
CCUACGGGAGGCAGCAGUGGGGGAUAUUGCACAAUGGGGGGAACCCUGAUGCAGCGACGCCGCGUGGGUGAAGAAGCGCCUCGGCGCGUAAAGCCCUGUCAGCAGGGAAGAAAAUGACGGUACCUGAAGCAGAAGCCCCGGCUAACUACGUGCCAGCAGCCGCGGUAAUACGGAGGGGGCAAGCGUUAUCCGGAUUUACGGGGCGUAAAGGGGGCGCAGACGGCGAUGCAAGCCAGGAGUGAAAGCCCGGGGCCCAACCCCGGGACUGCUCUUGGAACUGCGUGGCUGGAGUGCAGGAGGGGCAUGCGGAAUUCCUGGUGUAGCGGUGAAAUGCGUAGAUAUCAGGAGGAACACCGGUGGCGAAGGCGGCCUGCUGGACUGCAACUGACGUUGAGGCCCGAAAGCGUGGGGAGCAAACAGGAUUAGAUACCCCAGUAGUC